CGCCUGUUUAUCAAAAACAUGUCCUUUUGUUUGUAUUUAUUUAAGGUUUGCCCUGCCCAAUGAUUAAUUUAAUGGCCGCAGUAUACUAACUGUGCUAAGGUAGCAUAAUCAAUUGUCUUUUAAUUGGAGGCUGGAAUGAAGGGGUGGAUGAAGUAUUAUCUUUCUUUUUACUAAAUUUUGAACUUAAUUUUUUGGUUAAAAAGCUAAAAUUUUAUUGUGGGACGAGAAGACCCUAUAGAUCUUUAUAUUUAUUUAUUUUAUGAUGAUUUAGUUUAAUUAUCUAUUUUAAAAUAAUUUUUUAUUUAAUUGGGGUGAUUUUAGAAUUUAAAUAACUACUAUUUAAUUUAUCAUUAAUGAGUGUUUUAUUGAUCCUUUAUUAUUGAUUUUAAGAUUAAGUUACCUUAGGGAUAACAGCGUAAUUUUUUCGGAGAGUUCAUAUUGAUGAAGAAGUUUGCGACCUCGAUGUUGGAUUAAAGUAAGUUAUGGGCGCAGUUGCCUAUAAACUGAGUCUGUUCGACUUUUAAAUUUUUACAUGAUCUGAGUUCAAACCGGAG
rnacentral:rRNA from 1 species